UGCGCAGGCGGUCCCGCAAGUCCGUUGUGAAAGCCCCGGGCUUAACCUGGGAAUGGCAGUGGAAACUAGGGGACUUGAAUCUGGCAGAGGGGGGUGGAAUGCCACGUGUAGCAGUGAAAUGCGUAGAGAUGUGGCGGAACACCGAUGGCGAAGGCAGCCCCCUGGGCUGAGAUUGACGCUCAGGCACGAAAGCGUGGGGAGCAAACAGGAUUAGAUACCCUGGUAGUCCACGCCCUAAACGAUGAUCACUAGGUGUUGGGGAAGCGAUUUCUCAGUACCGCAGCUAACGCGUGAAGUGAUCCGCCUGGGGAGUACGGUCGCAAGAUUAAAA
rnacentral:rRNA from 1 species